rnacentral:misc_RNA from 1 species
GUGAAUCAUCAAAUUUUUGAACGCAAAUUGCACUCUCUGGUAUUCCGGAGAGUAUGCCUGUUUGAGGGUCACUUUCAAUAAAAAUCGGUGUGGUUGCUGCCUUUCGUGGUGAAGAACCGGAUUGGGGACUUCUUGCCUUCGGUUAAGUGAACUAAAAUUUUGCCUGAAUUUCUGUGAACGUACUUUAAUUAUUAUCC